rnacentral:rRNA from 1 species
AUUGAACGCUGGCGGCAGGCCUAACACAUGCAAGUCGAGCGAGCGGCGGACGGGUGAGUAAUGUCUGUGAAACUGCCUGAUCGAGGGGGAUAACUACUGGAAACGGUAGCUAAUACCGCAUACCAUCAGAUGUUCCCAGAUGGGAUUAGCUAGUAGGUGGGGUAACGGCUCACCUAGGCGACGAUCCCUAGCUGGUCUGAGAGGAUGAUCAGCCACACGGGGACUGAGAAACGGCCCAGACGCCUACGGGAGGCAGCAGUGGGGAAUAUUGCACAAUGGGCGCAAGCCUGAUGCAGCCAUGCCGCGUGUGUGAAGAAGGCCCUAGGGUUGUAAAGUACUUUCAGUGGGGAGGCGUUACCGACAGAAGAAGCACCGGCUAACUCCGUGCCAGCAGCCGCGGUAAUAC